UGGGACCUACGGGAGGCAGCAGUAGGGAAUCUUCCACAAUGGACGAAAGUCUGAUGGAGCAACGCCGCGUGAGUGAAGAAGGGUUUCGGCUCGUAAAGCUCUGUUGGUAGUGAAGAAAGAUAGAGGUAGUAACUGGCCUUUAUUUGACGGUAAUUACUUAGAAAGUCACGGCUAACUACGUGCCAGCAGCCGCGGGAAUACGUAGGUGGCAAGCGUUGUCCGGAUUUAUUGG
rnacentral:rRNA from 1 species